UACGAAGGGGGCGAGCGUUAUUCGGAAUCACUGGGCGUAAAGCGUGCGUAGGCUGUUUGGCAAGUUGGACGUGAAAGCCCGGGGCUCAACCCCGGAAUUGCUUUCAAAACUGCCAGACUCGAAUUCGGGAGAGGAUAGCGGAAUUUCCAGUGUAGUAGUGAAAUACGUAGAUAUUGGAAGGAACACCAGUGGCGUAAGCGGCUAUCUGGACCGACAUUGACGCUGAGGCACGAAAGCGUGGGGAUCAAACAGG
rnacentral:rRNA from 1 species